UGGUAAUAUAACUUAUUUAGGCCUAAUUUUAAAUGAAUAGGCACAUUUUAGCAUGGGGCAUUUUACUCGCCCUAAAGUGUUUACGCACAUGGCUUUGGUGUAUGGUGGCAGACUCCGUGGAACAUAAAGAAUUGUAAGUGUGCAAAAGAUACAGUGACCAAGUUACCUGUGGCUCUAGCAUUGUGCAUCUUGGUUUCUUUAUACAGCCUUACAAUAAAGAUGAUGCUUAAAAG